rnacentral:misc_RNA from 1 species
AUGAGCUUGACUUGGAGAUGCACUUGAGUUUCACGUGCAGUAAACAGAAAGCCAUUGGAAGCAGAGGGGUGGCUGACCGUUUCAUGGAAAGGUCACCAACUAGUGCUUCUAGAGAUCAAAAUCCUCUAAACAAUGGAACUCCAAAUAGAACCACCCAGCAUAGUGAUUCAGGUGCCACUGCAAGGAUUUUGUCCAGCGAUGAAGAAACUGGAAAUGGCGUUGAUGAUUUGGAAGACCAGUCUCUUAUAGAAA